rnacentral:rRNA from 1 species
GUUCCGGCAUUGGAAUGAGAACAAUAUAAAUCUUUUAACGAGGAUCUAGUGGAGGGCAAGUCUGGUGCCAGCAGCCGCGGUAAUUCCAGCUCCGCAAGUGUAUAUCUAUGUUGCUGCGGUUAAAAAGCUCGUAGUUGGAUCUGCGUGUUUAGCGUCCGGUUCGACUUUUGGUCGUUACUGGAACGCGACACAUAUGUGCUGGUUUGCCGUUGAUGCUCUUAAUCGGGUGUCAGUGGCGGCUAGCGAGUUUACUUUGAAAAAAUUAGAGUGCUCAAAACAGGCGUUUCGCCUGAAUAUUUCUGCAUGGAAUAAUAGAAUAGGGCUUCGAUUCUAUUCUGUUGGUUUUCGGAAUGCGAAGUAAUGAUUAAGAGGGACAGACGGGGGCAUUCGUACUGCGACGUUAGAGGUGAAAUUCUUGGAUCGUCGCAAGACGUACUACUGCGAAGGCAUUUGCCAAGAAUGUUUUCAUUAAUCAAGAACGAAAGUUAUGGGUUCGAAGGCGAUCAGAUACCGCCCUAGUCAUAACCGUAAACGAUUCAAACUGGGCGCCCGACGGUGUUUUUAUUGACCCGUCGGGAACCCUCUCGGAAACGAAAGUGUUCGUGUUCCGGGGGAAAUAUGUCUGCAAAGAGGAAACUUAAAGGAAUUGACGGAAGGGCACCACCAGGGGUGGAGCCUGCGGCUUAAUUUGACCCAACACGGGGAAACUCACCCGGCCCGGACACCGUAAGGAUUGACAGAUUGAGAGCUCUUUCUUGAUUCGGUGGGUGGUGGUGCAUGGCCGUUCUUAGUUGGUGGAGUGAUUUGUCUGGUUUACUCCGAUAACGAACGAGACUCUGGCCUGCUAACUAGUGUUCACAUCUUUACGUGUGCUUCGCUUCUUAGAGGGACAGGCGGCUUCCAGCCGCAUGAAGAAGAGCAAUAACAGGUCUGUGAUGCCCUUAGAUGUCCGGGGCUGCACGCGCGCUACACUGAAAGAAUCAGCGUGUACGUUACCUGGCUCGAAAGAGUCGGGUAAUCCGGUGAAAAUCUUUCGUGAUUGGGAUCGGGACUUGCAAUUAUUUCCCUUGAACGAGGAAUCCCUAGUAAGUGCGGGUCAUCAGCUCGCGCUGAUUACGUCCCUGCCCUUUGUACACACCGCCCGUCGCUGCCCGGAACUGAGCCGUUUCGAGAAAAAUGGGGACUGUCUACUUGAGGUCUUCACGGACUUUUUGUAAAUGGAAACCGCUU